rnacentral:rRNA from 1 species
GACAGAGGGUGCAAACGUUGUUCGGAUUUACUGGGCGUAAAGCGCGUGUAGGCGGCUUUGCAAGUCGGAUGUGAAAGCCCACGGCUCAACCGUGGAAGUGCAUCCGAAACUGCAUGGCUCGAGUCUCGGAGAGGAAGGUGGAAUGCUUGGUGUAGAGGUGAAAUUCGUAGAUAUCAAGCAGAACACCUGCGGCGAAGGCGGCCUUCUGGACGAUGACUGACGCUGAGGUGCGAAAGCGUGGGGAGCAAACAGG